GAUGAACGCUGGCGGCGUGCCUAAUACAUGCAAGUCGAGCGAACAGACGAGGAGCUUGCUCCUCUGACGUUAGCGGCGGACGGGUGAGUAACACGUGGAUAACCUACCUAUCAGACUGGGAUAACUUCGGGAAACCGGCGCUAAUACCGGAUAAUAUAUUGAACCGCAGGGUUCAAUAGUGAAAGACGGUUUUGCGGUCACUUAUAGAUGGAUCCCCGCCGCAUUAGCUAGUUGGUAAGGUAACGGCUUACCAAGGCAACGAUGCGUAACCGACGUCAUAGGCUGGUCGGCCACACUGGAGCUGAGACACGGUCCAUGCUCCUACGGGAGGCAGCAGUAGGGAAUCUUACGCAAUGGGCGAAAGCCUGGCGGAGCAACGCGGCGUGAGUGAUGAAGGUCUUCGGAUCGUAAAACUCUGUUAUUAGGGAAGAACAAAUGUGUAAGUAACUAUGCACGUAUUGACGGUACCUAAUCAGAAAGCCACGGCUAACUACGUG
rnacentral:rRNA from 1 species